AUUGAACGCUGGCGGCAGGCCUAACACAUGCAAGUCGAACGGUAACAGGAAGUAGCUUGCUGCUUUGCUGACGAGUGGCGGACGGGUGAGUAAUGUCUGGGAAACUGCCCGAUGGAGGGGGAUAACUACUGGAAACGGUAGCUAAUACCGCAUAACGUCGCAAGACCAAAGAGGGGGACCUUAGGGCCUCUUGCCAUCGGAUGUGCCCAGAUGGGAUUAGCUAGUAGGUGGGGUAACGGCUCACCUAGGCGACGAUCCCUAGCUGGUCUGAGAGGAUGACCAGCCACACUGGAACUGAGACACGGUCCAGACUCCUACGGGAGGCAGCAGUGGGGAAUAUUGCACAAUGGGCGCAAGCCUGAUGCAGCCAUGCCGCGUGUAUGAAGAAGGCCUUCGGGUUGUAAAGUACUUUCAGCGGGGAGGAAGGGAGUAAAGUUAAUACCUUUGCUCAUUGACGUUACCCGCAGAAGAAGCACCGGCUAACUCCGUG
rnacentral:rRNA from 1 species